GCUACCAUCCUCAGUGUUUUAUAUGCCUGAUAAAACUAAAAAUAUUAAUUAUGAUUAUAAAGGCUAUCUACUCUGUAUUGAAUUUGUUCAAAAUGAGUUAGACCCUUGUUGAGAGAUUUAUCAUGCCCCUAAGAUCAAGACAUUUAUUCAGAAAGAUUCACUCUUCCGAAGUAAUAUUGCAUUAGAGGCAUGGGCUAUGCAAAAAUAAAGAUAUUUCGAGGAAAUAAAAAGGAGCAAGUGCUCGAUAACCUCGCAGAAAAAUGGACGAGUGUCCGGCAGUAGAAUUAGGGGUACCUCGGUAUCCACUUAAAAAAAGAAGAAAAAGAAUGAUAGCCCAUGGUCCCUCUAAUAAGCAAUAUGCCAGCAAGAGUUGACAAAGAUUUUAAUUUCCAAAGUCU
rnacentral:lncRNA from 1 species